UACGAGUGCCUCAAGCGUUAUCCGGAAUCAUUGGGCGUAAAGGAUGUGUAGGUGGUUGUGUUAGUCUUUUGUUAAAUUCUUCGGCUUAACCGGGGGCAUGCAAGGGAAACGGCACAACUAGAGGAUGCGAGGGGUCUGCGGAACUCAUAGUGUAGCGGUGAAAUGCGUUGAUAUUAUGGGGAACACCAAAAGCGAAGGCAGCAGACUGGAGCACUCCUGACACUGAAACAUGAAAGCGUGGGUCGCGAAUGGG
rnacentral:rRNA from 1 species